rnacentral:tRNA from 1 species
GAUUAGGUGGUUGUGUUCGCUUGCUUGACAGGCAAGAGGUCACUGGUUCGAUUCCAGUACGCCCCA